rnacentral:rRNA from 1 species
GAUGAACGCUGGCGGCGUGCCUAAUACAUGCAAGUCGAGCGAACGGACGAGAAGCUUGCUUCUCUGAUGUUAGCGGCGGACGGGUGAGUAACACGUGGAUAACCUACCUAUAAGACUGGGAUAACUUCGGGAAACCGGAGCUAAUACCGGAUAAUAUUUUGAACCGCAUGGUUCAAAAGUGAAAGACGGUCUUGCUGUCACUACUAGAUGGAUCCGCGCUGCAUUAGCUAGUUGGUAAGGUAACGGCUUACCAAGGCAACGAUGCAUAGCCGACCUGAGAGGGUGAACGGCCACACUGGAACUGGGACACGGUCCAGACUCCUACGGGAGGCAGCAGUAGGGAAUCUUCCGCAAUGGGCGAAAGCCUGACGGAGCAACGCCGCGUGAGUGAUGAAGGUCUUCGGAUCGUAAAACUCUGUUAUUAGGGAAGAACAUAUGUGUAAGUAACUGUGCACAUCUUGACGGUACCUAAUCAGAAAGCCACGGCUAACUACGUG